UCCUGUUGUAGACAAUGAGAAGAGUGAUGGUGGCCAGGUGACAGAGCUGCUGGAGAAGAUAGAGGAGAUGGUGGCAGGGAACGGUGGCUGCCCUUUCCAGUUGAAUCGGAGUAUGGACUCUCCUCCCAAUUAUAAAGAACACAUCCCUGAUGACGGCUCUGGAGGAACAUCUGGAUAUAGCUCUGCUGCAUCACAACCUGUAUCUCAGCUCCUGUGGCACUCUGAGCGCCUCAACAGGGCUGGCUCCACUCAGAGCUCUGGCUAUGGCACAGGCCUCAGCAGGGAUAGAUUACUGCACGGGCCUACCGGGCCCAGGGGCCCAAGAGAUCCCCUUAGACAUUUUAAUGU